UACGUAGGGUGCAAGCGUUAAUCGGAAUUACUGGGCGUAAAGCGUGCGCAGGCGGUUAUGUAAGGCAGUUGUGAAAUCCCCGGGCUCAACCUGGGAACUGCAUCUGUGACUGCAUAGCUAGAGUACGGUAGAGGGGGAUGGAAUUCCGCGUGUAGCAGUGAGAUGCGUAGAUAUGCGGAGGAACACCGAUGGCGAAGGCAAUCCCCUGGACCUGUACUGACGCUCAUGCACGAAAGCGUGGGGAGCAAACAGG
rnacentral:rRNA from 1 species